rnacentral:lncRNA from 1 species
UAGAUUCCUUAUUCUGCAAAAUGGAUUUAUUGUAUCUCAAGGCACUGUGAAGUUUGCACUAGCAUGUAUAGGCAAAAAGGAAAGUCCAAAGAGAGGAAAAGAAAGCAGGAGAGACCUGAAAUGACACAAGAAGUGACUCAGAAUGGGAAGAUUGUGCACUCCUUGUUGGCCCCUAAUGCACAUGGAAGUAUGGAACAGAAGCUGUGAAAAUAACCCAGGUGCGAAGGCCAAUGGUUUUCAUACAUUUCAAGCUUCUCUCCAUGAUGUCCUUUUCCAUGUAAAAUCUAAAUCAGGUGUCCUAUAUACA